CAAAGGAAUUGACGGGGAGCACUACAACGGUGGAGCCUGCGGUUUAAUUGGAUUCAACGCCGGAAAUCUUACCGGGACCGACAGCAAUAUGAAGGCCAGGCUGAAGACUUUGCCGGAUUAGCUGAGAGGUGGUGCAUGGCCGUCGUCAGUUCGUACUGUGAAGCAUCCUGUUAAGUCAGGCAACGAGCGAGACCCACGCCCACAGUUGCCAGCGUACUCUCUGGAGUGAUGGGUACACUGUGGGACCGCCGCUGCUAAAGCGGAGGAAGGAAUGGGCAACGGUAGGUCAGUAUGCCCCGAAUAUCCCGGGCUACACGCGAGCUACAAUGGUUGGUACAAUGGGUAUCUACCCCGAAAGGGGACGGGAAUCUCCUAAAACCAAUCUUAGUUCGGAUUGAGGGCUGCAACUCGCCCUCAUGAAGCUGGAAUCCGUAGUAAUCGCGUUUCAACAGAACGCGGUGAAUACGUCCCUGCUCCUU
rnacentral:rRNA from 1 species